ACGGAAGGCAGCAGUGGGGAAUAUUAGGCAAUGGGGGCAACCCUGACCUAGCAACGCCGCGUGAGGGAUGAAGGUUUUCGGAUUGUAAACUUCUUUGGCAGGGGACGAUAAUGACGGUACCCUGAGGACAAGCCACGGCUAACUACGUGCCAGCAGCCGCGGUAAUACGUAGGUGGCGAGCGUUGUCCGGAUUUACUGGGUGUAAAGGGCGAGUAGGCGGGAAUUCAAGUCAGAUGUGAAAUACCGGGGCUUAACCCCGGAGCUGCAUUUGAAACUGGAUUUCUUGAGUGAUGGAGAGGCAGGCGGAAUUCCCGGUGUAGCGGUGAAAUGCAUAGAGAUCGGGAGGAACACCAGUGGCGAAGGCGGCCUGCUGGACAUUAACUGACGCUGAGGCGCGAAAGUGUGGGGAGCAAACAGGAUUAGAUACCCUGGUA
rnacentral:rRNA from 1 species